GGAAAGCGAACUCCAUUCAAAAUCCAUUACCAGGAACUUCAGCCAGCCUCAAGCAGUCAUCUGUAAUGCAGCUAAACCAAGCCUGACCUUGGAAGAUCAAAAAAGAAGAGGCUGCAUGUCAAGAGAAGAGAGAAGAGGUGGCGUGUGUAACGGCGAGUUCCUGUCCUUCACCUCUUGGGGAGUUU